GACGAACGCUUGCGGCGUGCCUAAGAAAUGCAAGUCGAGCGAGCUCAAGCCUUCGGGCUGAAAGCUAGCGGCGAACGGUCGAGUAACACGUGAGCAACCUGCCCCAAAGCGGGGGAUAGCCCACCGAAAGGUGGAUUAAUACCGCAUGUGGCCGUCCCGGGACAUCCUGGGACGAUUAAAGCAGUAAUGCGCUUUGGGAUGGGCUCGCGGCCUAUCAGCUUGUUGGUGGGGUAACGGCCUACCAAGGCUACGACGGGUAGCUGGUCUGAGAGGAUGGUCAGCCGGAUUGGGACUGAGAUACGGCCCAGACUCCUACGGGGGGCAGCAAUUAGGAAUCUUGCGCAAUGGGCGAAAGCCUGACGCAGCGACGCCGCGUGACUGACGAAGU
rnacentral:rRNA from 1 species